AAGAAGGUGCAUGAAAUAAAGCGAAGGGGGCCGGUUGUGCAGAAGAGGUGGCUUCCACCUCCGAGUGGUACGGUAAAAUUGAAUGCAGAUGGGGCAGUGGCCAGGUCUCGGCGUGGAGGAGCUGCGACAGCAAUUUGCCGUGAUCAGGAUGGCAAUUACCUGGGAUCAUCAGCAGUGGUUUAUCAUGGAGUUACUGAUCCGAUGAUGCUCGAGACUUAUGCUUGCAGAGAAGCGUUGGCUUUGGCAGAAGAUCUC
rnacentral:rRNA from 1 species